AGGCUUUCCACAGAGGGAUAUCUGCCUCCCGGGCCCCCCGAAACACUUGUUGUAAUGCUGGACCCGCCUCUUUCCCGAUGUCAUAGGACAGCGAGUCGUGUACCACCACAUCCUGGGAACUGACGUACAAAUGAAGGAUGUGCCCCGGCUGGCCCGACUUGAUGAAGAUUACAUGUCGUGCUGUCAUCACUUCAGCCAGUGUGCUGCACAAAUCUGGAGAACAGAUGUGAUACAGCGGAGGUCUGUUCUGUCUCCUUAUGCCUGGAUCUGGAUUUACCCACAGCCGUGUAAGAGUCGAAGAAAUGAAAGUAAAGCGUGAGGAAUUUGAGCGGACGAGCAGAGAGGUCAACAACAGUCUCACCAGCAGAAGUCAAGGGCCUGGAUGUCACACAGAUAGCAAAGGUCGAGGCUCGUCGGGGACUGUCGACUGCCUCCAAAUACAGCAGACCU